rnacentral:pre_miRNA from 1 species
AGUGGGAUAGCUGGGUGAAAUGGUGGUUCCAUUCCAAGUUUUAUGGGAAAUCUCCCAAACUCUUUCCAAAAUGGUUGUACCAUUUUGCAACUCCACCAGCAAU